rnacentral:rRNA from 1 species
UACGUAGGGUGCGAGCGUUGUCCGGAAUUAUUGGGCGUAAAGGGCUCGUAGGCGGUUUGUCGCGUCGGGAGUGAAAACCCAGGGCUUAACUCUGGGCUUGCUUUCGAUACGGGCAGACUAGAGGUAUGCAGGGGAGAACGGAAUUCCUGGUGUAGCGGUGAAAUGCGCAGAUAUCAGGAGGAACACCGGGUAGGCGAAGGCGGUUCUCUGGGCAUUACCUGACGCUGAGGAGCGAAAGCGUGGGGGAGCAAACAGGA